UAUCGGGUACAUCUAAAUGACAAAAGAAAACAAUGAAAAAGGUAAAUUGAUUGGUUAAUUAUCUUUCAAAUCAGUGGAUCAAUAAAGUGACAAAAUACUGAGAGACAAUUUAAAAAAGACAAUCAAACAACAAUCAACCAAGAAAAGUCAAAGUGUUCUAACCUUUGUAUCAAUAAGACAAGGACAAGAACAAAAAAAAUGUAACAAUAUUAAUCCAAGUGUAUCAAGAUUAUCUUUGUUAUAUUUUACAUGAUGAAGAUCAGAAUCAUGAGGGAGAGAGAGAGAGGAAUCAAAAUCAUCAACGAUCAUUGUCAUUAACGGUUCAUAGAUUAUCAUCAUUAUCAAUUGGAAACCAGAAGUAAUAAUAACAAAAAAUAGUACAAUUUUCUUACAAUAAAUCUACUAUUAAAAAUGUCAUCAAAUUGUUCAGGAUUUCCAGUUAACCAUCAUGAUCAACUUACAUUAAGUGAAAAAAAAACAACGGAAGUUAUUAUCAAAAUGAUUACUAUUUCACAACAACAUGAUAUAAACAUGAUUGUUAUCAUCUCAGAAUUACAUCAAUUUAUUGAUUACCUUGGGUAUUUAAUUGUAUACACACACUUUUAAUAUCGUAGAAAUGAUGAAAAAAACAAAUUUUCAUUCAGAAAGUUGCCUGGUGUUGGAGUAAAGUAGCAAAAAGAUUUUUUUUCACUGUUAAUUGUGAUCAUCCUAUUGAGUACAAAGCUCCUAUUAAUACAUAAAUAGCCACAUAUUCAUGUAUAUGUGUACAAUUAACUGUUAAUUACAGUUAGACAACAAUAAUGGCAAUAAAAUCAUAAUUACUAUCAUCAACGGUCACUAUUGAGCCUUGGCCUAAAAAUCAAUGCU